rnacentral:miRNA from 1 species
GUACUUUUAAGAUCUGUCAUUUUAUGACCGAUCUUAAAAUUUAUGUCGGAUACAACUUUUAAGAUCGGUCAUAAAAUAACGAUCUUAAAAGUAC